rnacentral:rRNA from 1 species
AACGAACGCUGGCGGCAUGCCUAACACAUGCAAGUCGAACGGGAUCCAGGCUUCGGCCUGGUGAGAGUGGCGGACGGGUGAGUAACACGUGGGAACCUGCCUUUUGGUUCGGGAUAACCGCGGGAAACUGCGGCUAAUACCGGAUGCUCCCGAGAGGGGAAAGAUUUAUCGCCAGAAGAGGGGCCCGCGUCCGAUUAGGUAGUUGGUGAGGUAAUGGCUCACCAAGCCGACGAUCGGUAGCUGGUCUGAGAGGAUGAUCAGCCACACUGGGACUGAGAUACGGCCCAGACUCCUACGGGAGGCAGCAGUGGGGAAUAUUGGACAAUGGGGGCAACCCUGAUCCAGCAAUGCCGCGUGAGUGAUGAAGGCCUUAGGGUUGUAAAGCUCUUUUGCCAGGGAAGAUGAUGACUGUACCUGGAGAAUAAAGCCCCGGCUAACUUCGUGCCAGCAGCCGCGGUAAU